rnacentral:lncRNA from 1 species
AAAACAUAUAUACAUCUAUUGAUAGGACAAAUUUACAGUGGCGAGGUCUUACAUAGUAAAUAAAGAAAGCUAGCACAACAACAGUAUCUUCCAAGGUUGAUCUUGACUAGCACUCAAAAUGAAUCCGUAGUUAUCCUGAAAAAAUGUUUACCAUAGUUUGAUGAGUUUGGCUACUCAGUAAGUGAUCAUCAUAAUCCGAAAAAUAAUCAUGAUUGAAAGAUAUCAAUAUUUUACAAAAUGAGAUCUAUUAACAGAAAUGCAUCAACAGUUUCACUUUCAAUAAAUGCAUAAUUAAGUAUAAUCCGA